rnacentral:rRNA from 1 species
ACAGCACUCCUACGGGAAGCAGCAGUGGGGAAUAUUGCACAAUGGGGGAAACCCUGAUGCAGCGACGCCGCGUGAAGGAAGAAGUAUCUCGGUAUGUAAACUUCUAUCAGCAGGGAAGAUAGUGACGGUACCUGACUAAGAAGCCCCGGCUAACUACGUGCC